AACGAACGCUGGCGGCAUGCUUAACACAUGCAAGUCGAACGAGACCUUCGGGUCUAGUGGCGCACGGGUGCGUAACGCGUGGGAAUCUGCCCUUUGCUACGGAAUAACUCAGAGAAAUUUGUGCUAAUACCGUAUAAUGUCGAAAGACCAAAGAUUUAUCGGCAAAGGAUGAGCCCGCGUAGGAUUAGCUAGUUGGAGAGGUAAAGGCUCACCAAGGCGACGAUCCUUAGCUGGUCUGAGAGGAUGAUCAGCCACACUGGGACUGAGACACGGCCCAGAAUCCUACGGGAGGCAGCAGUGGGGAAUAUUGGACAAUGGGCGAAAGCUUGAUCCAGCAAUGCCGCGUGAGUGAUGAAGGCCUUAGGGUUGUAAAGCUCUUUUACCAGGGAUGAUAAUGACAGUACCUGGAGAAUAAGCUCCGGCUAACUCCGUGCCAGCCGCCGCAGUAAAAC
rnacentral:rRNA from 1 species